CCUACGGGGAGCAGCAGUGAGGAAUAUUGGUCAAUGGGCGCGAGCCUGAACCAGCCAAGCCGCGUGCAGGAUGACUGCACUACGGGUUGUAAACUUCUUUUAUAAAGGAAUAAACUGAGGCACGUGUGCCUUUUUGUAAGUACUUUAUGAAUAAGGAUCGGCUAACUCCGUGCCAGCAUCCGCGGUAAUACGGAGGAUCCGAGCGUUAUCCGGAUUUAUUGGGUUUAAAGGGAGCGUAGGCGGGGUGUUAAGUUAGUUGUGAAAGUAUGCGGCUCAACCUUAAAAUUGCAAUUGAUACUGGUAGCCUUGAGUACAGUUGAGGUAGGCGGAAUGUGUGGUGUAGCGGUGAAAUGCUUAGAGAUCACGAAGAACACCGAUUGCGAAGGCAGCUUACUAAGCUGCCACUGACAUUGAGGCACGAAAGUGUGGGGAUCAAACAGGAUUAGAUACCCGGGUAGUC
rnacentral:rRNA from 1 species